GUAAGGUAUAAAUAGUAAUGAGUAAGGUAUAAAUAGUAAAAGUAAAUGGGAUUAACCGAAAGUUUAGUUUAAUGGUUUAACCGUAGGCUUGACAGACUCUAUCGGCUAGUUUAGGGGAAAAAAUGAUAUUAAAAAAAUUAUGUGCAGUUUUUCUGAUUUGUGUGACAAUAUCACAGAUACUUUUGAGGACAGACGCUUUUGUUGAUAUAGGAGCGGAAGAUCCUAAUAAGGUUCACUACAUUCAAAUAAGAGACAAGGGAGGACAAUUACCUGAACCGGAACAAACACCCGAGCAAGCAAAAUUAAUUGCACCGUUUUUAGAUAUGCAACCAGAUAUCCGCUGUACGAGACGACGGAAUCGGCCACCCGCACCUCCUCCUCCAGAUUUUCUGGACACAUGAAGUAGCUAAGUCGCCGUUCGGAAAUUAUGAGAACGGUUAGUUACUUCUUAAGAGAAGAUCAUCGACUUACUAACAUACAUUUAACUGGAUAAGAAUGCUGUGGAAGGGAAUGUAAAUCUUGUAUCUAACAAAGCUGCAAACGGAAAGAGACAUGCUUGCUUAUUAAACAAACCUGAAAGUGGAAAGAGACACCAGACAUCGGGAAUGUACUCCUGCAACUCCUGCUGGUGAAAUAGAACAUCAGACAUCGGGAUAUACUCCUGCAAGUCAUUCUAGCGAAAUGGGACAUCAGGCAUAGGAUAUGUACUCCUGCAAAUCAUGCUAGCGGAAUGGAAUAUCAGACUUCGGGUGUGUACUUAUGCAAGUCCUGCUAGCGAAGUUGGACAUCAGGCAUCGGCAAGUCCUACAAGUGGAAAGGGUCAUCAGACAUCGGGUUUGACUCGUCCUACUAGCAGAAUUGGAUAUCGGUCAUCGGGGUAUGAUUCAUGAAAGUCUGCAAGCGGAAAGAGAUAUGUACUCCUGCAAGUCCUUGUGUAGCCAGGGAACGUAUGAUCUUCGGGCAUGUAAAUUAAUUUUACUGUGUAUCGCACAAACUUGCCAGUGGAAAUGGGCUUUAAUAUUCGGGCAUGUAAAUGAACAAACCUGCUAAUAGAAAAGGACAUAAGUCUGUGGGCAGGUAAACUAAUUGGACUGCGCAUCGAACAAACUUUCAAGUGUGAAGUGACAUCAAUACUCGGGCAUGUAAAUGAAUAAAACUGCAUGCGGAAAGGGAAGUCUACGAAUUUAGAUUUUUAUUUCAAUAUGAGCAUCAUUUUAAAAGGAAAUGUUCAUCAAAGUUCCAAAGGAUAUUCUUAUAGAUUUUGUUAAAAAAAUUAGAUAUCGUAUGAUGUGUUUUUUUUUUCAUUUACGAAACAGCUCCGCUACGUGAUAUAUUAGUCCGAGUGCGUACUAAUUAUGGCAUUGAUGACCGAAGGGCUUUAGUCAGUAAGUCACAUCAAAGACAUCUUAUAUGCUUCAGUAUUUUUUAUGACCCGGUCUAAUUAGGUGACAUCCUCGAAAUUACAAACAAGUCCAAUGUUAUAGAGAUGGUAUCUACCCAAGAAAGUCUAAGGGGAACAACUCUGAAAUGACUAAUAAACUAAAGCCAACAUAAAACAUUGGUCAAAAGUGAAAGAAAAAUCAACAACUGAUCAGGCAGACAAAAUAUGACCUAUAUUUGUUUAAAUCUCUUAGUAUUCAAUAUACAUCAUGCACACUUUUCUCAUGGCUUACACUGACGGUUAUAAGUUGUAGUGAGGCCCUGAUAAAAAGUUUAGUAGUGCAUGAAAAUAAAGUAAAAUAUUGCAUAAAUUCCAUUAAAAAGAUUAAAUUGGUGUCACGUUUGUGUAACAACAUAGCUAGACUGAGUAUAUUCAUCAUUUCAAUGAACAUUUUGAAAGACUUAGUGUUUCCUAUUCUUUAGUCAUUUGAAGCAUUUCUCUUCCUGUUUAAGAGUACUUUUCUGCAAAUUAUAUAUAAGUGUAAAAUAAAAAAGUCAUUGUCAUCAAAUGAAAUUACAAGAUUUUAAAGUAGUGGUUGUAAUUACAACAUUUUAAUGUAGCUGAUAGGUAAUGACUCUCUGCAAUGUUUUUGUAGCAAUUCAACAUUCUCUAGAUGGAACUAUCACGAUCAUUGCUUUCUAUGAAAACCAACAUAAAUGCUAUAAAAGCAUAUGGAGAUUA